rnacentral:tRNA from 1 species
AGCGUAAAAGUUGGUAGAGCAGUUGACUUUUAAUCAAUUGGUCGCAGGUUCGAAUCCUGC